AGCAGCCGCGGUAAUUCCAGCUCCAAUAGCGUAUAUUAAAGUUGUUGCAGUUAAAAAGCUCGUAGUUGAAUUUCGGGGUCAGUAGGUCGGUCGUGCCACUGGUAUGAACUGGUUUUACUGAUUCCUCCCUCUUGAAGAACUGUAAUGCCAUUAAUUUGGUGUUGCAGGGAAUCAGGACUGUUACUUUGAAAAAUUAGAGUGUUUAAAGCAGGCUUUAGCUUGAAUACAUUAGCAUGGAAUGAUGAAAUAGGACGUUUGAUCCUAUUUUGUUGGCUUCUAGGAUUGACGUAAUAAUUAAUAGGGAUAGUUGGGGGCAUUAGUAUUCAAUUGUCAGAAGUGAAAUUCUUGGAUUUAUUGAAGACUAACUACUGCGAAAGCAUUUGCCAAGGAUGUUUUCAUUAAUCAAGAACGAAAGUUAGGGGAUCGAAGACGAUCAGAUACCGUUGUAGUCUUAACCAUAAACUAUGCCGACUAGGGAUCGGAUGAUGUUAAUUUUUAAUGAC
rnacentral:rRNA from 1 species